GGGCAGGUGGCGGAAUUGGAAUACGCUUACGGCUUAGGACCGUAUCCCGAAAGGGUUGUGGGUUCGAGUCCCACCCUGCCCA
rfam:Parcubacteria group bacterium CG2_30_36_21 cg2_3.0_scaffold_4165_c, whole genome shotgun sequence.